UUUCCCUUAAUUUUCUCAAAUGAGUUCACUUACAAUGAAUCAAUAAUGUGAAAAAUUGAGUUAGCUGAUUGGAAAUCCAUCUGAAACUAUAGUUCAAUCCUAACAAAUUCCAAAAUCAAUUCUCAAUCACCUCCAGAUCUCAUCGGAGAUCGCUAUAUUCGCCGCGAAUUCUGAUUUGAGAUUGUUAUAUCACAUGGCAGGGGCGGCAUCGGCGCUGUUCCUACUUGACAUCAAAGGCAGAGUACUGGUUUGGCGUGAUUUCCGUGGAGAUGUCUCGUCCGUCCAGGCCGAACGAUUCUUCACCAAGCUCCUUGAGAAAGAGGGUGACCCUCAAGAUCCUGUUGCAUAUGAUAAUGGCGUGACAUAUAUGUUUAUACAGCACAAUAAUGUAUACCUCAUGACCGCAUCAAGGCAGAAUUGUAAUGCUGCUAGUAUUCUUCUGUUUCUACACCGUGUUGUUGACGUCUUUAAGCAUUACUUUGAAGAGCUAGAAG
rnacentral:misc_RNA from 1 species